CGCGGGGUGGAGCAGUUUGGUAGCUCGUCAGGCUCAUAACCUGAAGGUCGUAGGUUCGAAUCCUGCCCCCGCUA
rnacentral:tRNA from 1 species